AGCACAAUUGUCCCAAAAUAUGGAAUUUUCGCUUGGCAAAAAAAAAACCGAAGGACAUAUGAUUUAUAUUGAUUUUAUUUGUACAACUUUUUUAUUUGUAAAGAAAUAACUCAAAAAUUAGAUGCCACGUUUAUGCCGCACACCGAUAUUUAACGAACAAAUAACUCAGACUAUUAAAUUAAAUUAUAAGAAAAAGAAUCAUUUAGCAAAACUACGUAAAAAUAAAAAGGUCAUUUGAAAAUUUUCUAUUUUUUUACGAUAGCAUUGAGUUAUUAAUACUUUCGUAAUCGUCUUUACUUUGUGAAUUGCUAUGGGAAACAAGCGAUAUUUUAACCUUG